rnacentral:rRNA from 1 species
GGGCUCAACCUGGGAACUGCAUUUGAGACUGCCAAGCUGGAGUUUGGCAGAGGGGGGUGGAAUUCCACGUGUAGCAGUGAAAUGCGUAGAGAUGUGGAGGAACACCGAUGGCGAAGGCAGCCCCCUGGGCCAAUACUGACGCUCAUGCACGAAAGCGUGGGGAGCAAACAGGAUUAGAUACCCUGGUAGUCCAGCCCUAAACGAGUCAAU